rnacentral:lncRNA from 1 species
CAGAAGUCAGGUCGGAUUAAGCCAUAGUACGGAAAAAACUAUGCUACCUGUGAGCCCCGUCCAAGGACGUUAAAAGAAGUCAGGCCACUACAAGUGCCAUAGCUUGAGUAAACUAUGCAGCCUGUGGCUCCACCUGAGAAGGUGUAAAAAAUCUGGGAGGCCACAAACCAUGGAAGCUGUACGCAUGGCGUAGUGGACUAGCGGUUAGAGGAGACCCCUCCCUUACAAAUCGCAGCAACAAUGGGGGCCCAAGGUGAGAUGAAGCUGUAGUCUCACUGAAAGGACUAGAGGUUAGCGGAGACCCCCCCGAAAUAAAAAACAGCAUAUUGACGC